ensembl:lncRNA
GGGGGCGGGGGUCGCUUCGGAGGAGCACAUGUUAUCUUCUUCCUCAGCUAAACCAAGAAGCCGAAAAAAAAAAAAAAAAAAAAAGGGGCCAGAAAGAGUCCCACUGAACUUUUUCUGUGUUAAGGCCUUAAGUUGCUCACCAUUGUGUUGCCUUAGAAGUGGGACAUCAGUAGGGAUCUUUGUUCCCUACUUAUCAACUGAGAUGUCACUUGUCACCUCCCAUUCUCAUUUCAUUCAACUGUAAAGUGGAGGCAAAUAGGUCCGUCUUAAAGUGUGGCUGUCAAGUUUAAAGGUGAGAAAGUGCCUGACAGUGCCUGGCUCCGCAGAAGUGCUGGGUAAACGUCCCGCCUGCGUUCGUUUGUAUCUUCCUUUCAGCCCUAUUCUGUGGGAGACUUGCUCGAUUGGGUCUCUUAAUGCGGGUCAAUUCGCCUUAAUUCCGCGGUGACGGAGACGCCACCGCCUUGGUGCGCAGCCUCCUCCUAAAGGGGUUGCAAACAGCGGGCUUACCCCAGCACAGCCUCAAACCCGGGCUUGACGCGAAAGCCACCCUAUCCACCCAGGAAAUCGGGUCCCCAGGUGCGCGUGGAGGCCGCAACAGGCACUUCUUUUUCUGUGGAUCACCUGUUCCCCAACACACACACACGCACCGUGGACCCUGCUCCGACGUCUGCGCUCCAAACGUCCAAACGCGGCUGCUGUUUCGAAAAUUUGUUCAGCUGACCUUUCCGCGUCUCUGACUCGGCUCCAUCGCUCACUCGGUAUGCCCGGAACAAGAGAAUGAGAGGGAAGGGUAUUUCUGAGAGGGUGAAAGAGCAGGAGAGAAAAGAAGAGGAAGAAAAAGAAGAGGAGAGAAAGAGGAAGUGACUUUCUGGAGUUGUCGAAUGUUAGGAUAAAGCCUUCUGACUCCUUCAGUCCGUUUUCACUGGCCUGGGUAUCACAUCGUGUGUCUGAAAAGUGUUUUUCGUCGCCUCAGUAUUUCUGCAGCUGUUCCCGCUGGAAUCCCUUUCACUCUGAAAAAAUAAAUCGAGAAGAGAAUCUAAAUUUUUACCAAAUUGUCUUUAAAGGGCUCUGUUUGGUAUGAUGAUAGAGUCCUGAAAUAUUUGUAGCACAUUUGUGAAUACAGUAGUUCCUGCCCCUCCCCCACCCCGGGGAAUUCUUUUAUGAAGCGUUCAAGUCCAAUUUCAAUAAGAAAUUUGGAGUGGAGUUGGUGGAUUUGGAUAUUUAACUGAUGCAGAGUUGAAAUCUGAACUGGGAGGGAGUGGAGUUGGGUAUUUUAAAAAAUUAUUUUACGAAGCAUUGUGAGCUAAAUAUUGUCAGGGUUCAAAGAUAGUGAGCCUGUCUAUUUCUACUCAGACAAAUAAAAAUCAAAGGUGUCAACUAAAGCAAACAAAUUGGAAAAUUCACGUCUGAAGAGAGGUUUUCGGAGAGUGCUGCCUUUUUACAUUUAUAAAACCCAGACUGUNNNNNNNNNNNNNNNNNNNNNNNNNNNNNNNNNNNNNNNNNNNNNNNNNNNNNNNNNNNNNNNNNNNNNNNNNNNNNNNNNNNNNNNNNNNNNNNNNNNGUUUUCGGAGAGUGCUGCCUUUUUACAUUUAUAAAACCCAGACUGUCCCUGCGGAUCGAAUUCCCUGAGAACCAGUCAGGCUCAGUUUGUCCGGUUGCUAGACCUAAGCGCCUCGCGUGCGUCUGGGGGUGGGGGUGAAGAUCCGGCUCUGUCUGUGUGUGGGGGGGUGGGGUAGGGGGAUGGGGGGGUGUUCUCACACCUUCAAUUUCAUCUUUGGGCCAUGCUGGACGAGAACUAGGCCCAGAGAGCAAUUUUCUAAGAAAAAUCUCGGAACCUCUGACCCGGAGGAGAGACGCGGCGCCCAGGAGACUGAACCGAGAAACCGGGGAAACCGGCCUUAAAACCAACCGGGAGGAAAUUGAACGUAUCGCACCAAGAUGCAGAUGUGAAAUUUGAACGCGUGGGAGGGAAACACCCGGGGGUUUCUUGGGAAGAGUAAACAAAAGAGGGGGCAAGGGGAAAGACGGAAUACCACGACUCCGACCUUGGUUUUGUGUAACUAGAUG